rnacentral:tRNA from 1 species
UCGGUUUUAGCUGAGGCUUCUGUAGCUGACGGGGUAGAGACCUGUUCGGAGACUUCGCUGGAUGUUUCUUUUUCUGUUGAAUCCGGUGUACUGGC